rnacentral:antisense_RNA from 1 species
UCUCACAUGAGGUCCCGGCGAGAAGGACCUGCCUCCAUCAGAUUCACACUCGGGAGAGGGGCCCGGCCUCCAGGAGCGCCAGGCAGAGGAGAGGGCACCCAUUAGGAAGAAGAACACAGAGGCCAUGGGAGUGAAAAGUUUGAUGCUGGAAAGCAAUAGUAGCACAUUCUGCUACAGAGCGGAAUGAAAAACCCUGGAGAGCAAAUUCCUGAGCCAGAGAAUGGAGCGGAGGAACCAGCCAAGGAGGAUAAAGAGACUUAGCCUAGAAAAUAAUGAAGAAGGACAGAAAGAGAAUAUCAUUCUACUACACCCGCUGAUGACUUAAAAACUGUGUGCUCUGAGGCUGCCCGACCCUGAGCUCCAGAACAGACCAUCGAGUUCAGGAGACAAGCAUGUCAGCCAUGACACAAGGCAGAUGAGAGGGACCCAGCGUCCACACGUGGAGGCAGCAGGGGCAGCCGAUCCAUACAAACAGGCCGACCAUCAGGGCUGGUCCCAGGCCACCAGGCCGGGUGCAAUGCAGAAAUGGAGAUCUGCCCCGGGGAAGGCAGG